AUGUCGCGCAGCGACAGAGUCACACAGAAGUUUGAACGAUAUCUGGUCAGGUGAUCAGAUUGACGCCAAUGGCGCGGAUUUACAAAGAACAACCUCUUGAUAAAAGCGACAAAUUUCCUACUUUGCUUAGUAGACUUCUAAAUAUUGAGUAAAAACAACUGGAGUAUUGAAAACUGGGCAUAAACGGUGAAUUGAGCACGUUUCAGUAAAAGCUCAGUAAAUUUCUUUGUGCAAGACGACAAGCCCAGACGAAAACACCCUGACAAUGACGCGUCUAAAUUACAAAUGUGCUCUCCGUUGUUUUCUGGUCCUAACGAUGAUCGCUAUCGUAAUCAGCAACGCUGAACACUCCCGCACGCGCCGUCAAGCAUUUUGCGCCGGCUAUGGCCAAAGAUGCAAUCCUUCCGACGCAAUGUUCUGCUGCAGUCAUAUGGUCUGCACCGAAUACAAGUGUGGCUCUCUGAACUCCCGCUCUGCGCCAAAUAUCUUCGUUGCAAAUUCUGACGACAGCCGAAAAUUCAAACCUUCACGGAUCAAAAGCGCGGAAGGACGUUAGACUAAUGCACGUUACCUAAGUGGGCUUGUUUACACACACGACCGUAUAACACAUGAUUAUCGCUAAGGAUCGCUAGAGAGACCAAGCCUUACAGGGAGACAGUGCAUUUAAACACAAUCCAAUCAGUCAGCUCAGGAGUAGAACUAUAUAGCUCAUUUUUUUCUAUGGCUGAAGCCUAUGGUUCCUUGGUAUCGUCGAAGCUGCUAAACGAGUGUUGAAAAUUCACUCUGUAUUUUUUAAAAUCUAGUCUGUGCUAUUGUGAUCGUAUGCUGAAUAACUCAUCCGGCGUCGCUGUUAUUAGCAGAUUUUUAUGCUCAUAAAAAACAUAUGUUGCAUACAGAGUUCAAAUAGCUUCGUUGUCUGACAGUAUCAGUAAAGAUUGUUUCAUAAACCCACCUUCUUCAUUCACCUAUCUUCCUCAUUUCGGACUGAGUAUUGGUUAGUAAACGAAUCUGUUCUUUAUUCUACGAAUAUUCGCUCUUCGGGAAGGAAAUGAUACAAAGUCAGCAGAACGACAACAGAAUUCACGAUUUCUGGCUAUGACCAGAGGAAAGCUAUCAAACCAACUAAGUAAUGGAAAUAGACGUGCAUUUUAUAUUCUCUAUCUAAUGCGCUCCACCCUAAGCUACUCUAAAUUCAGGUAUUGAGGAAUAUCUGGUGUGUCUUCUAGUCGACACGGCGGAGUAGCCGUGCUAAAGUGUAUCCUUUGAUAAUUCUAUCUAUCUCUUCUUAUUGACAGCUUAUAAGAGCUUGAUUGACAUCGGAUGUUGAAAUAAUCCACAGCGCAAUAUGUAAGAUAUUAGCCUAGGGUUUGUUUAAAAUUGCUUUGCGUUUGUUAAAAUUGCUAAAUUUAUUGUUGGGCAUAUUACGCCUUCUACUAAGCACGAUGUGUUAUUUCUGGUUCAGGAUUUGUUUUGGUCAUUUUACAUAAAAUACACAGUAAAAUCUCAUGGAAAAACAAAUUUAUCUUGAUUUUCCUAACAGUUGUUCUACAUGACCAAAACAAACGAGGCGACUAAAGAAACAUUCAUGUUAGAAUAAAAAGUCAGGUAAGUGGUGAAUGUCCUCUGACAAUCACUGCGUUUUGUGGUAUCAUUUUUCAACUUAACCUGCCAAACUCUUAAGUAAGCUUGAUCUACGUACAAAAAAAAAUACUGAUUCGUUUGAAUAAAUUAGCAUUUCUAGCUUACAGAUGAUUUAAAUGUGGUUUAAUUUGUGUUAAAGUUUUCGUUAAAUGAAGAAUAAAGUUCCACGACUUAUUCAUCCUCAAUUAACUUCAGUUACUUUUUACUCGCAGGUAUCGCAAAUAGUGCGGCAAUUUCCCCUUCAUUUCAAAAAAAUCAACGCCAAACUUCGCGCUUGUCAACGAAGAAGUCGAGUGCGGUCUUAGUUUUCAUGUCCUGUUUCGACUUGACGACGGCCAUAAAAGCAAAUUUCUAAGUGUUUGAAAAAAAAACCAAAACGACAGGUAUAGUUACCGCAAUCAUUG
rnacentral:lncRNA from 1 species